AACUAAAAGCUGCUGCUGACAAAGUGUCAAUAGAAUCAGCUUUAUUCGGCUUAAAAUCAAUUUAAUGUUGUUUCAGUUUUGUAUUCCAGAAAAUCAGAGAUAGAAGUCUGGCAGAUAUUUCGAAAGGAGGGGCCUCCAAUUUGGAGCCCAUUGUGCGUGACGCGGCAUCUAGCUGGCAUCCGUACUAUCCGGCACCUCCUGUGCUCUUGCACCUCCACGGCGCACAAUUAUCGACUUGGAGGCGGACAGAGGCGGGAAGAGCGGCGGACAGUGGGGCUGAAUGGAUGGCCGCAACUCACAAAUUGGCAAUUUGACUUGAUCCAGUCCCCCGGGUAAGAGCCACGCAAUAGCGCACUGCUGGAUGCCCGACGACGUCAAUAAGAUGAUUUAGAGCACGGAAAUGGUUGUCGCGAAGUCGGGAACUCGAAAAGCUGGACGAUGGUGGUGCUGAUACUGGUUGGUGGUGGUGGGUGCUGUCAACGAUGUCUGGAAAUUUGAGCUCUUGUUUUCGCCCGGUUUCAUAAAAAACACAUUAAUUCUAAUUGGCAGCAAUUGCAUUGAACCGCCCGGUGAGCAUUUAGUGGGUCUAGCCGACUGACUCACUCAAUGACCGAAGCUCGGAACUUCAGUGUGAGAAAGUGAUGAACUGGCCCAGGGGAAAGAAAAAACAGAGUAAUGCCGCUGAGGGCCACGGUUUGUUUGCCUUUCCACGCGCGGCAAAUGCACAAAAGUAUUUUUCAAACUUAAUGCUUCCCGACUUUAUGCAAGUUGAGCUCUUUGCGAUUUGGCGAGGCCAAAAAUGAAAAUGAAAAUGAAGGAGCGUGGUGCUGCACUUAAAGUUUCAACCGCAAAGUGUCAAAGAGUUGGACACUUGAAACGGAGCACUUCCUCGCCCACAUGGAUCGGCAUUAACAUUUGGCCUCUUCUAAGGAAUUCCGCCUGGUUUUUUGGGGGAAUGGCUUAGUGGGGGCGGGGUGGAGAUGCGAUAAUUAAUUGCUUCAUUACCGCGGCGAGUGAAAAGUAAUGCAAAAGAACCGCAAAUGCGCAGCUUGGGUGAACUGGGUGGAAUUUGGAACCCGGAGUGGGGGAUGGGGAUGGGGAAUGGGUGAUGGACAGGCAUACAGCGAGAGUUUGACAGGCCAGCUAAUUGAAUUGUCUUCUGCUCUGCGGCGCGGAUUUUAAAAUGUGUGUUGCUAUCAAAAAAUACAAUAAAAAUCGACCGCAAGCCGAACGAAAGCCGCAAGAAAAGAAAUAUUAACUUGGUCGGCGGCUAUAUUAAAAACGAAUGAACUGAAAACGUAAAAAGAGAGCCACGAAAUAGUUUUGGAAAUGUUUUCAAAUUAUUUUAAUGCCUCACCGAUGGAGGGAGCACCGAUGAACCAAGUAUCUGUUGUUGGCCCAACAGAACAGAAGGAACACUCCGCCCCCUCGCUAAUAGUGUCAAAAGUUUAAUGAUGAGCCACCGGCUGUCACUUUUGGGGCCGUGUGCCGUUAAGUACAGUACUCCCUCCCUCGGUUUCCAUGUUCCUGCCACGAACAGCUGUCAGUGGGGAAGUGACAGCGCCAUUUUGCAGAUGGCGGCCUGCAGAGAUCAGCAGGCCGAAAGUCAAAAUGGGAACAAAGCAGGAAAGCCUGCGGUUAAUGGAGAUAGUACCUAAGAAUUUAAUAUAUGCAGAUUUCUCUAUAGUAAUUUUAUCAAAAAUCGUAGUACCUAAUAAACACUAAUAAUAUAAUA